UACAGAGGGGGCAAGCGUUGUUCGGAAUUACUGGGCGUAAAGGGCGCGUAGGCGGCCCGCUAAGUCGAACGUGAAAUCCCCCGGGCUCAACCCGGGAACUGCGUCCGAUACUGGUGGGCUUGAAUCCGGGAGAGGGAUGCGGAAUUCCAGGUGUAGCGGUGAAAUGCGUAGAUAUCUGGAGGAACACCGGUGGCGAAGGCGGCCCCCUGGUUGG
rnacentral:rRNA from 1 species